GGGAACGGAACUCGAGUGGCAGAGUAUUAACCUUUUAAGUUAAUUUGUUUCAGUUCAAGUCUGUUCGUUCCCU
rnacentral:tRNA from 1 species